rnacentral:rRNA from 1 species
GACGAACGCUGGCGGCGUGCUUAACACAUGCAAGUCGAACGGAAAGGCCCUGCUUUUGUGGGGUGCUCGAGUGGCGAACGGGUGAGUAACACGUGAGUAACCUGCCCUUGACUUUGGGAUAACUUCAGGAAAAUGGGGCUAAUACCGGAUAGGAGCUCCUGCUGCAUGGUGGGGGUUGGAAAGUUUCGGCGGUUGGGGAUGGACUCGCGGCUUAUCAGCUUGUUGGUGGGGUAGUGGCUUACCAAGGCUUUGACGGGUAGCCGGCCUGGGAGGGGGACCGGGCACAAUAGGACUGCGGUAGGGACCAGUCGCCUACCGGACGCAACGGGCGGGAACAUGGCACAAUGGGGCGGAGCCUGAUGCGACGAUCUCCGGUUCGGGAAAACCGGCUUUGGGUUGUAAACCACUUUCGCCUUUGAAGAAGCCGGCGUGACGGUAACUGGUAAAGAAGCACCGGCUAACUACGUG